rnacentral:misc_RNA from 1 species
GCAAACUUGGUCAUUUAGAGGAAGUAAAAGUCGUAACAAGGUUUCCGUAGGUGAACCUGCGGAAGGAUCAUUACUGAACUGUCAACACGAGUUGUUGCUGGUCCUCAGACUGAGGGCAUGUGCACACUCUGUUUACACAUCCACUCACACCUGUGCACCCUCUGUAGUCCUAUAGCUUGGGGGGCUCUGUCUCCCUUGCUGUGGUUCUGCAUCUUUACACACACACACUGUAAUAAAGUUUUAUGGAAUGUAUGGCGUUUAACGCAAUAUAAUACAACUUUCAGCAACGGAUCUCUUGGCUCUCGCAUCGAUGAAGAACGCAGC